CUCCCCUCCAAACCUGUUUUGGCCAAGAUCAAGUGUAGUAUCUGCUCUUAUCAGUUUAAUAUCUGAUAUAUUUCCUGUCCUACAUGGUAUAUUCAAUGUCCUCAAUAUUAAAAACCACAGGUUAUUUUACCAAAAUAAAAUGACACUGUGUCUUGAAA
rnacentral:snRNA from 1 species